CAGUAGCCGCGGUAAUACGAAGGGUGCAAGCGCUAAUCGAAAUUACUGGGCGUAAAGCGUGCGCAGGCGGUGAGUUAAGUCUGCUGUGAAAUCCCCGGGCUCAACCUGGGAAUGGCAGUGGAUACUGGCUCGCUAGAGUGUGUCAGAGGAUGGUGGAAUUCCCGGUGUAGCGGUGAAAUGCGUAGAGAUCGGAAGGAACAUCUGUGGCGAAGGCGACUAUCUGGGCCAACACUGACACUGAGACACGAAAGCGUGGGGAGCAAACAGGAUUAGAUACCCCGGUAGUCCCUGUCUCUUAUAA
rnacentral:rRNA from 1 species